rnacentral:rRNA from 1 species
UACCUCAGUAACGGCGAGUGAAGCGGUAACAGCUCAAAUUUGAAAUCUGGCUCUUUCAGGGUCCGAGUUGUAAUUUGUAGAAGAUGCUUCAGGUGUGGCUCCGGUCUAAGUUCCUUGGAACAGGACGUCAUAGAGGGUGAGAAUCCCGUAUGUGACUGGUUGCCUUCGCCUAUGUGAAGCUCUUUCGACGAGUCGAGUUGUUUGGGAAUGCAGCUCUAAAUGGGAGGUAAAUUUCUUCUAAAGCUAAAUAUUGGCCAGAGACCGAUAGCGCACAAGUAGAGUGAUCGAAAGAUGAAAAGCACUUUGGAAAGAGAGUUAAACAGUACGUGAAAUUGUUGAAAGGGAAGCGCUUGCAACCAGACUUGCCUGCCGUCGAUCAUCCUCCGUUCUCGGGGGUGCACUCGGCGGUGGUCAGGCCAGCAUCGGUUUCGGUGGUGGGAUAAAGACCUUGGGAAUGUAGCUCCUCUCGGGGAGUGUUAUAGCCCUCGGUGCAAUGCCGCCUACCGGGACCGAGGACCGCGCUUCGGCUAGGAUGCUGGCGUAAUGGUUGUAAGCGACCCGUCUUGAAACACGGACCAAGGAGUCUAACAUCUAUGCGAGUGUUUGGGUGUUAAACCCAUACGCGUAAUGAAAGUGAACGGAGGUGAGAACCCUUUAGGGUGCAUCAUCGACCGAUCCUGAUGUCUUCGGAUGGAUUUGAGUAAGAGCAUAGCUGUUGGGACCCGAAAGAUGGUGAACUAUGCCUAAAUAGGGUGAAGCCAGAGGAAACUCUGGUGGAGGCUCGCAGCGGUUCUGACGUGCAAAUCGAUCGUCAAAUUUGGGUAUAGGGGCGAAAGACUAA